AUGGCGGCGCUCUCCGUGCCUCUCCGCACCGCGGCGGCCCUGUCCUCGUCCGGCGCCGGAUCCCGCGCCGUCGCCGACCCCUCCAAGGCGUCAUGCGUGAGGAGCACUGGCUCCGCUCAUUUUGGCUGCAGCUUCCCCUCCAUUGUGGCUUCCUCGUCAUCUGUCAGGAACAUUGAGCCACUUAGAGCUAUAGCUACACAGGCACCACCAGCCGUCCCACAAUAUUCGAGUGGGGAGAAGACGAAGGUUGGCAUCAAUGGGUUCGGACGGAUUGGGAGAUUGGUUCUGAGAAUUGCAAUCAGUAGAGAUGAUAUUGAAGUUGUCGCUGUCAAUGAUCCUUUCAUUGAUGCUAAGUACAUGGCUUAUAUGUUCAAGUACGACUCCACUCAUGGCCCCUUUAAAGGAUCCAUUAAUGUUGUGGAUGAUUCAACUCUGGAGAUCAAUGGGAAGAAAAUCACGAUAACAAGCAAAAGAGACCCAGCAGAGAUUCCUUGGGGUAACUUUGGAGUUGACUAUGUUGUUGAAUCUUCUGGUGUUUUUACAACUAUUGAUAAAGCAUCGGUUCACUUGAAGGGUGGUGCUAAGAAAGUGGUGAUAUCUGCUCCAUCCGCAGAUGCUCCCAUGUUUGUGGUUGGAGUAAAUGAGAUGAGCUACGAUCCCAAGAUGAAUGUUGUUUCUAAUGCAAGUUGUACCACUAACUGUCUUGCUCCUCUUGCCAAGGUUGUUCAUGAGGAAUUUGGCAUUCUUGAAGGUCUAAUGACAACUGUUCACGCAACAACAGCCACCCAAAAAACUGUUGAUGGUCCUUCAAUGAAAGAUUGGAGAGGAGGACGUGGUGCUGGUCAAAACAUAAUUCCUAGCUCCACUGGUGCAGCAAAGGCUGUGGGGAAAGUCCUCCCCGAGCUAAAUGGAAAACUUACUGGCAUGGCUUUCCGAGUUCCAACGCCAAAUGUCUCUGUGGUCGACUUGACCUGCCGACUUGAGAAAAGUGCCUCCUAUGAUGAUGUGAAAGCAGCCAUCAAGGCGGCAUCAGAGGGCGCACUGGAAGGCAUUCUAGGCUACACAGAUGAGGAUGUGGUAUCCAACGAUUUUGUUGGUGACACAAGGUCAAGCAUAUUUGAUGCUAAUGCUGGCAUGGGACUGAGCUCUUCCUUCAUGAAGCUCGUGUCGUGGUACGACAACGAGUGGGGCUACAGCAACCGAGUUCUUGAUCUGAUCGCCCACAUGGCUCUUGUCACCGCCAAGCACUGA
rnacentral:rRNA from 1 species